AUGGGUGAGACAUGACUGAAAAAUGACUGAACAACAACAUUUUAGAGAGCUGGUGGUACCACGACCCCGAUGUUUACUGAGAACAAAGUAGAACUAUGCAUAUCACUGGAAAUCAGCAUAUCACAGCCCCCAUGUUUAUUGAGAACAAAGUAGAAGAAAACUUCAGAUAGUUUUCCUAAGCACCUCACAGGCUCUGCUUCCAGUUCAGCCACCAUAAUAACCAUUAUCUGCGGGAACAACAUUUAUGGACAUGGGACCUGGCAAUUACCUCUACAGUUACUUCUGCCCCUAUCUCUUCAGCAGCCACAGCUAUUGAAGACCCAGAAAAGAAAGUUCUUGCCACCAGAAUCCCUUGCAUUGUCAAAUGAUUCAACAUCAGAAACCAAUGUGGUUUCAUCAGUGGGAAUGACCCUAAAGAAGAUGCUUUACCAUCUCCCUUGCCGUUGUACCAUAAGGACUGCUGGUCCUUUCUUUAUGGAUUAUAGCUGAACCUUCCUGUAAGCACCCCACCUAUUAGAAUGUGGGUACCUUGAGAGCAGGGUCUGACUUAUAGCUAUUGUAUCUUCUAUCUAUUUGCAUCUCUAUCACUUAGCACAAUACUUUGCAUAUAGAAAGUACUUAGUAAAUGCUCUUUUAUUCUUUCA